UCAGCUGGGAGAGCGCCUGCUUUGCACGCAGGAGGUCAGCGGUUCGAUCCCGCUAGUCUCCACCA
rnacentral:tRNA from 1 species